UACGGAGGAUCCAAGCGUUAUCCGGAUUCAUUGGGUUUAAAGGGUGCGUAGGCGGGUUGAUAAGUCAGUGGUGAAAGCCUGAUGCUUAACAUCAGAACUGCCAUUGAUACUGUCGAUCUUGAGUACAUUUGAUGUGGGCGGAAUAUGACAUGUAGCGGUGAAAUGCUUAGAUAUGUCAUAGAACACCGAUUGCGAAGGCAGCUCACAAAACUGUAACUGACGCUGAGGCACGAAAGCGUGGGGAUCAAACAGG
rnacentral:rRNA from 1 species